AGAUUGAACGCUGGCGGCAUGCCUUACACAUGCAAGUCGAACGCGAAAGGGGGAGCAAUCCCCCGAGUAGAGUGGCGAACAGGUGAGUAAUACAUCGGAACGUAUCCAGUAGCGGGGGAUAACCUCUCGAAAGAGAGGCUAAUACCGCAUACGACCUACGGGUGAAAGAGGGGGAUCGCAAGACCUCUCACUAUUGGAGCGGCCGAUGUCGGAUUAGCUAGUUGGCGGGGUAAAGGCCUACCAAGGCGACGAUCCAUAGCUGGUCUGAGAGGAUGAUCAGCCACAUUGGGACUGAGACACGGCCCAAACUCCUACGGGAGGCAGCAGUGGGGAAUAGUUGGACAAGUGGGCGCAAGCCUGACUCCAGCCAU
rnacentral:rRNA from 1 species